CCUACGGGGUGCAGCAGUCGAGAAUCAUUCACAAUGGGGGAAACCCUGAUGGUGCGACGCCGCGUGGGGGAAUGAAGGUCUUCGGAUUGUAAACCCCUGUCAUGUGGGAGCAAAUUAAAAAGAUCGUACCACAAGAGGAAGAGACGGCUAACUCUGUGCCAGCAGCCGCGGUAAUACAGAGGUCUCAAGCGUUGUUCGGAAUCACUGGGCGUAAAGCGUGCGUAGGCUGUUUCGUAAGUCGUGUGUGAAAGGCGCGGGCUCAACCCGCGGACGGCACAUGAUACUGCGAGACUAGAGUAAGGGAGGGGGAACCGGAAUUCUCGGUGUAGCAGUGAAAUGCGUAGAUAUCGAGAGGAACACUCGUGGCGAAGGCGGGUUCCUGGACAUUAACUGACGCUGAGGCACGAAGGCCAGGGGAGCGAAAGGGAUUAGAUACCCUGGUAGUC
rnacentral:rRNA from 1 species